UACGUAGGGUGCAAGCGUUAAUCGGAAUUACUGGGCGUAAAGCGUGCGCAGGCGGCUAUGCAAGACAGAUGUGAAAUCCCCGGGCUCAACCCGGGAACUGCGUCCGAUACUGGAAGGCUUGAAUCCGGGAGAGGGAUGCGGAAUUCCAGGUGUAGCGGUGAAAUGCGUAGAUAUCUGGAGGAACACCGGUGGCGAAGGCGGCAUCCUGGACCGGCAUUGACGCUGAGGCGCGAAAGCCAGGGGAGCAAACAGG
rnacentral:rRNA from 1 species